ensembl:rRNA 5S_rRNA 5S ribosomal RNA
UACAGCCAAACCACCCUGAACAUGCCCAAUCUCGUCUGAUCUCGGAAGCUAAGCAGGGUCGAGCCUGGUUAGUACUUGAAUGGGAGGAUUUGCUGUAU